UACGGAGGGUGCAAGCGUUAUCCGGAUUUAUUGGGUUUAAAGGGUGCGUAGGCGGCCUUAUAAGUCAGUGCUGAAAUAUCCCGGCUUAACCGGGAGGGUGGCAUUGAUACUGUAGGGCUUGAGUGUAGUCGAGGUAGGCGGAAUUGACGGUGUAGCGGUGAAAUGCUUAGAUAUCGUCAAGAACACCGAUAGUGUAGACAGCUUACUAGGCUACAACUGACGCUGAGGCACGAAAGUGUGGGGAUCAAACAGG
rnacentral:rRNA from 1 species